UAACAACUCUCAGCAACGGAUAUCUCGGCUCUUGCAUCGAUGAAGAACGCAGCGAAAUGCGAUAAAUGGUGUGAAUUGCAGAAUCCCGAGAACCAUCGAGUCUUUGAACGCAAGUUGCGCCCGAGGCCAUCAGGCCWAGGGCACGCCUGCCUGGGCAUUGCGA
rnacentral:rRNA from 1 species